UCUUGAAAAGCUUCAGUUAAAUUAGGGCCAUUAUAUUUUCUGCAUACAAACUGUUUGACGAAAUGUCUGAACGAGAAAUAGAAUCUUAGUUUCCCUUAAUAUUAGAAAAUACAGAAUGCAAGACAAAAUUCCAAUAUUUCGAUUCUUGCCGAAGAUAUUAUUGUGGAUAUUUUCUUAAGAUUACCUCUUAAAACUCUCUUGCCAUUAAAGUGCGCGUGUACAUGCUUCAUUUCUGUGCAUUUCAAGACAUUUAAAUCAGACCCUAAUGACCAUUAUAUCCUUAUACGAAAUCCGAGCUUCCUGAUAAAGCUUACUGAACCCUAUAGGUCUGAUUAUUCUGUUGUAGGCUCAAUUAAUGGCUUGGUUUGUCUUAGCUCUAGUUCUCGUAAAUUAAUUUGCCUAUGGAACCCUUCAAUACAUCAAUUUAAGUUGCUCCUUAUGCACAAUAUUAAGGUUCAAAGGACGCGUAAAUGUUAUGUGAGUGUGGGUUUUGGGUAUGAAAAGAAUUCUGAUGAUUACAACGUCAUGAGUAUUACAAACUAUUAUAAAGGUUGGCAAGGGACUAUAGUUGAGGUUUUCUCGACCAAAUUGGAAUCUUGGAUAGAAGUUAAGACUGAUGUUCACUUAAAUGUGACUACCUGUAGUUGUGAUGCAAUUGUUGAAGGGUUUACUUAUUGGGUUAUAAGAAAGACGAAUGAACCUGAUAAAACUGUUCUUGCCUCAUUCGAUUUGAGGAGCGAGAUGUCCAGCAUAAUUCCAGUACCGGAAGUGUUGGUUGCUGAAUCUCACAGUUUUAGGGCCGUGAACUAUCAAGGGUCACUUGUAUUGCUUGCAUACUCUUCACACGAUGAAUUCAAGAAAUGUCUUGAGGUUUGGGUGAUCGAAGGUGGUAGCUGUGGAGAGGGUGUAUGGCAAAAGAAUUUCACCUUUGGCACGGGUUUCGAUUUUUCUGCGCAUUGGGGUCUUACCAGUGGAGAUAUAGUAGUUGAAAAUUCUCCAAACAUAUCGUUCUUGUUCAACCUGAGAACAAAACAAUGUAGGAUGGGAACACGUUCAUUAUGUUUUCAACUAUACUGAGAGCCUUGUAUCGGCUAAGGGCUUCAAGCCUUUGCCCCCAUCAACAUAUUUUUUUGGUAACAAACUGAUGUAUUACCAAGGAAAAGUUUUUACAAUUUGAGCUGAACCCUCUAGAGUUGGACAGUAAGCCCCAACUUCUAGUACACUUGAACAACCAAAAAAAAAGUCUAGAACAGCAAACUACAUUCUACUACUUACACUAUGGAUAAUAACUAAGUUCUUGCAACAUCUUGUCUAAUCUAGGCUGCUUCCCUCCUUUGCAAUGCACAUUUUGUAUAAUCAACUUUAUAAUCAUAUUCUCAGUCUUCUUCUUGCUUUGGAAUACUCUCGUGUUCCUCUCUUUCCACAAAUAGUAGAUGCAACCAGAGCAAGUCAUUCUGCAAAUUUUUGCUCUUGCACUACUCCCAUUAGCAUGUUUUCUUGCCCAAACUUGCUCCUAUUCCCAUGCCAGCACUGGUCUGUUGAUAUGCUUCCAUUGUAAUAGUUUGUGCCACACUUUACCUACAAAUGGACAAUUGAAGAAUAGGUGUUGCAUAGUUUCUGGGCUUGAUUCACAAAGUGGGCAUGUUGAGCUACAGUUAACAGGCCACUUGAUCAGUCUAUCCUUUCUUGCCAAUCUUCCAUGAAGAGCCAGGGUCCCAUCAUCGAGUUUCUCAGAUAUUACGCUGGAACUGGACAAUAAGCAAGCUUCACGAUAUCUGUAUGUGUUCAUAGCCUCUGAAUUUCCCAUUUUCCAGAUGCUUCUCCAAAGCUCAAUGUUAACACUUACUGCCUAAACGACCAACACUCGUGGCACCUGCCUAUGGCGUGCAGCGUUACAGGCCCUAAGGAUUUGGUGACACAUCCCCACUUAAACUGGUCACAAUAUCCUCACGUACCGACCAUGUCUUUGUUGGCCUCAUUUCGGUUAGAAUGCUCUUAUCGCUUUGGUAGUUUCUACUGUAGAUCCUCUGGUAAAAGCAUGGAGCACCUAUUCAGGUGCGACAUCAAACCAACCAUAUUCUAACUUGUUUACUUCAAGGCAUUCUGUCACCCGGUACCUAUACUCAAGCGGAUAUUCAUCUUGAAGAAAUGUCUCUGCUUAGGCAUAUACUCAACUCAGUUCUCAUGUGGGAACUUUGCUUGGUGAACGCUCAUUCCAAGCACUAUCGCAAUUUUCAAUCUUAUGUUUGAACUUUGAUUUAGGAACCUGUCCUAAGGUUCUUUAAUUUUUCUACUAUAAAUCUUUAUUUUUCGCCUGUAUACACCAAUGCUAUAUGGAUGGGGCAAGAAUGUUGUCGCAUAGUCAGCAAUAUACAUCUGAACAAGAAAAACAAUACGAUGAAAAUUUAUAUGUCGACGUGAGGCAUAUUAAAUAUUAACUGAUUCUGGCUUAAAGACAAUAUACCAAUUGUUGGUCCGGGAAUACCAAUCUAUCCGGCCACCAUAUUUCUGUAGUUGUUUUCUGGUAACCUUGUAGAUUGCUGCUGCAUUCAUGAUUCAUCCCUACUCUUUCAAAUCUUUUACUACCCUGGUCCUGUCAACCAAAAUUACUUACAAGGGUAGUGGGGAAGCCAACUUGAAAAUUCUAAUCUUUUUUAAUUUUCAUUCUUUAUGGUAAGAUAUGCAAAGCUUACUAGCUAUGUUCUCCGGUAUGAGCUGUGUAAACACAAAGAUGAAGGUGUCUUAUUCUAAAAAAAAAAAAAUGAUGAAUGGUGUCCUGCUUUUGUAGUGGCAGAGAUGUUCACACAUCGGUGCAUAUGUAAGAUUCUCAGUAUUGAACUCAUUGUACUGAAACUACGAAUUUAGAUAUAAUAUUUGUUGUGAUUAUAUAUAUUUCGUGUCAAAAAUUAUAAUUUCAGAUGAACCCCUAGACAAAAGGCUACAUCCGCCCCUGGCUGCAGGUGUCAGUGUGCUCUUCUUGAUCAAAUUUGGUUAAUAGUUUUUCAUCUUGAUUUUUAACAUCACUAUGUGUUUCUUCUGUUAUAAUUUAAAUAAUCAAAGUGAUAUUUAUUUUGUGGACCAAGAUGAGUAUGCUAUUGGACAACAUGAGUGAAGGUUCAUGAUAUGCCAAAGAUGGACAUUCAGGUCACACAUCAAAGGAAAAUAAGAAAAAGAAUGUGUUAUAUGUGUCACGACCCGAUUGGGGGCCGCGACGGGUACCCGGAGCUAGUUACCGAGCAUCGCUCACUCUACUACUUAUCGUACUCAUUUAAUACUCUUUUAUCAAUUUUACAUACCAAUUGUAGGAAAAUCAUACUUUAUCAAAACAUAAAUACUUUAUAUACAUUUGCCUCCCGGCCAUCAAAAUAAUAUACAUACAUAUGAAAACAUCUUGUAAGACCAUCCAACCCACACUGCGUAUCUACGAGCCCCUACUAACAUAAUGAAUAACGGAACAAGACUCCGUCAUGCCCAAAAUAUGCAUAUAUGAAUGUACAUCAAAAUAAUAACCAUAAGCACCUCCGAACCAUGGAGUGCUAUCUAUCAGCUGACAGCUACUGAGGACCUGGGCCAAGCUCUCCUCCCUGUCUACCUGUGGGCAUGAACACAGCGUCCGAAGAAAGGACGUCAGUACGAAUGUUGUACUGAGUAUGAGAAGCAUAACCAAUGAAAGAAGACAUAAAUAACAUAGUGAUAACAUCAACAAGAAGCAUCUGAAUUUGACUGAUAAUCAUAAAAGAAGUAAUGCAUGCUAUCUUACACAUACUCAUCAUUAUAACAUAUAUGCAUCAUAUGCAAGCUGCCCGUCCAUGUCGGAACGGUGUGAUAAUCAAUAAUAUUAGCCCGCGUCCAGGCCUCCCGCGUCCGGGGUACCAUCUCAUGCCGCCCACUAGUGGUGUCUGCCCAUGCCCGUAGGUCGUGGUGUAUCCGUAUCGCCGCCCGCCGAAGCGGUGUCUGCCCGGCCAACUAGGCCCGGUGUGAUUGCAAUCAUGACAUGCUUAAAUGUAAAUACCCGUAGUAAUAUGCUUAUCAUAAGAUACUUAUCUUAUCAUAAUGCGUAUAUAAGACUCAUGAUCAACUUUACUCUAUCGGGGUGACGUAAGGUCGUGAUCCCCCGAUUUCAUUAUGGAACCCUUAUGGACAUUCUGCCUCACCUUGAAAGGACUAGCACAUAAGGUGAGUGUAGGCAAGGAAUAACAUCAUCAUCAUCAUUCUAGUGUCAUCAUAUCGUAUAACUUAUCUCGUAUAGACAUUCAUAGGCAUAAGCUUUUAACUUCUUAGAAUGUAAGAACUCAUGAAAGGAAUAGGGAUUCAAGCUAAAAGAUUCAUGCCAUUAGAAAGAAGGGCUAGCCUCACAUACCUUGGUUGCUUAGCUAGGCUAUCGCUCACUUUCUCUUCUUCAAUAUCACGUCGUUACCUUCAUGAGAGAAUUCGGAUCAACAUUAGCAAUCUAACUACAAGAACGCAUCGCUAAUUAUAGGAAAAGUCGGACAACGCUUCCUUCGCUCGUACUAAUUUUCUCAUGUUCUAUAUCAGCUCCCAAUAUUCAUAAUAUUAUUCGCAAUACCACAAUUGACAAUCGUCGUUUACGUACAUUUGGCAAAAUCCACCAUUUUCCUCCAAUUUUCCCUUAUUUCUACUUCUAGCUCAUCCUUGAGUUUUCAUGCAUUUAAUGCUUGUUUCAUGAUAUAAACAUCAUUUAUAACGCAUUUUUACUCACAACACUUCAAUAUUCAUAGUUCAAUUCCACUAUCAUUCAUUUAUGUCACUAUUCACUCAAUAAUGACCCAUUUCUAUGUUCUUCUACAUUUCAAGUGUCUAAGCUUUCCAAUACUUCAAACAACAUGGAAUAAUCAUGAAACUUACCUUGGAUGAUGGUUGAACAAUCCUUAAGUUGAAAUACUUCAAUUAGCCAAAACCCUAGUUCCACCUCCUUUAGAAUUUCUUCACUUAGAUGAUCCUUUGUUGUGUUCUUACACUUGAUUCCAUGAAAUUUGUGUUGUUGGUCUUGAUAUUCCCUUUAAUUCUCUUGAAUUCUUGUGGGGGAAUUAUUUGAAAUGUUCUAGAGGUUUCUUGAGUUGUUGGGUGAAUAAUGAAAUAAUAUGAGCUUAAGUCCCUUUUAAGAAUCACAAAAUCUGAUACUUAAUGAAUUCUUGUCGAGAUGAACAGUGAUCGUAAACCACUAUUUACGGACCGUAUUUUGAUUUACGGUCCUUCCACUGUGGUCGUAUUUAACCAUUUCAAAAACAGAAAGUUUUGGCUGAGGGACAUGGCAGUUUACGACCUGGUUUACGGUCCGUAAACCAGUUUACGGGCCGUAAACUGGGUCGUAUUUAACCAUAUUCAACACUGGGCAGAACUUGAUAUUUUUGAUUAAUGAAAGACGAUUGCACUAUACGGUCCGUAAAUCACUUUACGGGCCGUAUAGUGCCAUAUACGACCACUGGGCUGAAAAUUUUUCGCGACUUUCUUAUUUUCAAAAAUUCAUAAUUAGCCAUUCCCGACUUAGUAAAACAUCAAACACUCAAGCCCUUCAUCGUUCUACUCAUCACACAAGUACGGAAAAAUUUCCGAGGUGUAACAAUAUGACUCCAUGGAAUCUAACGCCUUGACUGGGGCAAACUUUCAGAAGAAUUUUAAGUCAAGUCCCCAUGCCUCUGCAAAUUUACAACCCCUCAUCUACGCCACUGGUUUGGCCCCAAUAGCUCUCUUUCCUUGAUAAUAAGGUACUCAUUGCUUAGCAACCUUUUAUCCCUAUUUAUAGUGAAUACUUUAUUCCUUAUUUAAUCUACACAAAUUCUAAUACUACUAUACCAAUCAAUUGUACACAUGGAGAGAGCAUAUUCUUUCAUUCUUUCUGCAGUAGUCUUGCAACUCUACUUCUUAGAGACAUGCAUUAGCAAAAACAUAACCACAGAUCAAUCAGCUCUUCUUGCCUUCAAAGGCAGCUUUACUCUAAACUCUUCUCAUCCCUUAACCCGAAAUUGGUCUUCUCAAGCUUCAGCUUGCCAUUGGAUUGGAGUCACUUGCGGCUCUCGCCACCGUAGGGUGAGAGCACUAAAUAUUUCGGACAUGGGCAUUCUUGGAACCAUUCCACCACACUUGGGAAACCUCUCAUUUCUUGUUUCUCUCUAUGUGAGCAGAAAUCAUCUACAUGGUAAUGCUGCCUUCUCUUCCUGGCAUUAGCAAAUUUGGGUGACCCCAAUUGAGAUGAUAACCAACACUUGGUCCGAGAUUAGAACGUUCUUGUUUCUCUUGUGCUUUUCUCUUGUCCAUAUUUUGAGUGUGGUGUGUGUGUGUGUCAAAUAAUUUUAACAUAUAAGAUAUGUACUAAAGUUGGCAUGGAGAAUGCCUUGUAUAAUAUUGAUGAACAUUAUUAUGUAGAUAUCAGCUUCAAAAAUCAAUGGAGAGUAGUAGUGUAAAAUGCUCAACUACCA